rnacentral:lncRNA from 1 species
UAUUAUAUAAAGUACUCAAUUUUAUACAAUAUAACCUACAAAUUCAGAUAAAAAUUGUAUUCGAUAUCAUCGCAUACAAUACGGGUUGACUUAAAAAAAUAAAAUAAUUAUAAUAAUGUUGUUGCCUUUGUGACGGAACAAUCGACGGCGAACGCACAACUAAUCGAGGAGAGACAGAGCGAGUCGGUUGCAAAACCAAUCUAAGAGUAGCAGCAGAUAAUCUAGGAGGGGCGGCGGUACUAUGGAAGGGGUAGAAAACUUUAGCUGCUCCGGUUGGGACGGGUCAACAAUUGACUAUGGAGAUAUUUGAAUGGUUAAAGGAUAUAAUUAAUUUAAAACUAGAUCUGGUUUGUCGGUAAUGGCGUCUUCUAUACCCAAUGUUUCUUCGUUAAUUUUCAAUCGGUGGUGGAAUUCUUUGAAUAAUAGUGAUGUUUGUGUAUAGAAGUGAGAAGAAAGGAG